rnacentral:lncRNA from 1 species
GGUGGUUGCAAGGCCAACGCCAUCCAGAAUAUGGAGUCCUAAUCAUUUUGUUCUAUUAUUGCUAGCCAAGGAACUGCCAACGAUGUCAUUUAUUGUUAUCAGUUAACUGGACUUUGUGAGAGUUUUCUUGCAAAAUGUUUGCCAAGAUUGGUGGCGAUCGAAGGUGGACAGCAAGAUCGAAGCUCACCAAGAUUGAAGAUUGUUCGAGGAAGAAGGAGUUCGCCGUUGACUAAAAGGUUUAUCUGAACAGCUAGUUGUCAAGAUGAAGGUGAAGACUCGCCCGGCAAAUUCAAAAUGGCGAUGCCAAAGAAAACCAUCCACGUGGACCGUUCGCGGACCUUUCUGAGCAAGAUUGUUGUG